rnacentral:rRNA from 1 species
UACGUAGGUGGCAAGCGUUGUCCGGAAUUACUGGGUGUAAAGGGAGGGCAGGCGGGAAGCCAAGUCAGCUGUGAAAACUACGGGCUCAACUUGUAGACUGCAGUUGAAACUGGUUUUCUUGAGUGAAGUAGAGGUUGGCGGAAUUCCGGGUGUAGCGGUGAAAUGCGUAGAUAUUCGGAGGAACACCGGUGGCGAAGGCGGCCAACUGGGCUUUAACUGACGCUGAGGCUCGAAAGUGUGGGGAGCAAACAGG